rnacentral:rRNA from 1 species
GAUGAACGCUGGCGGCGUGCUUAACACAUGCAAGUCGAACGAACCUUCGGGUUAGUGGCGGACGGGUGAGUAACGCGUGAGAAUCUGCCCUCAGGAGGGGGAUAACGGUUGGAAACGGCCGCUAAUACCCCAUAUGCCGCGAGGUGAAAUGAAUUUCGCCUGAGGAUGAGCUCGCGUCUGAUUAGCGAGUUGGUGGGGUAAAGGCCUACCAAGGCGACGAUCAGUAGCUGGUCUGAGAGGAUGAUCAGCCACACUGGGACUGAGACACGGCCCAGACUCCUACGGGAGGCAGCAGUGGGGAAUUUUCCGCAAUGGGCGAAAGCCUGACGGAGCAACGCCGCGUGAGGGAUGAAGGCCUCUGGGCUGUAAACCUCUUUUCUCAAGGAAGAAGAUCUGACGGUACUUGAGGAAUAAGCCACGGCUAAUUCCGUGCCAGCCGCCGCCGUAAUAC